CGUAGGGACCAAGCGUUGUUCGGAUUUACUGGGCGUAAAGGGCGCGUAGGCGGCAAUUCAAGUCAGCUGUGAAAUCUCCGGGCUUAACUCGGAACGGUCAGCUGAUACUGCUUUGCUAGAGUGCAGAAGGGGCAAUCGGAAUUCUUGGUGUAGCGGUGAAAUACGUAGAUAUCAAGAGGAACACCUGAGGUGAAGACGGGUUGCUGGGCUGACACUGACGCUGAGGCGCGAAAGCUAGGGUAGCAAACGGGAUUAGAUACCCCGGUAGUCCUAGCCCUAAACGAUGAAUACUUGGUGUCUGGAGUUUUUAUCCUCCGGGUGCCGUCGCUAACGUUUUAAGUAUUCCGCCUGGGGAGUACGCACGCAAGUGUG
rnacentral:rRNA from 1 species